UUUAUUCGGGUAUUAUUUUUCGGGGUGUUUUAAUUUUUGGAAGAUUGGGUUAUAAGUGGUGUGGACCGGUUUGGGGUGUGAGGCCCAAACCCUUUUUCUCUUCUCCCUCUCUCCCGUUUUCUCUCUCUCUCCCCGAUUUUUUUUCCUUCCUCCCGCUGCAGUCCGUCCGGCCGUCCUCCUGCCGCCGUCCGGCCACCAGCUGCCGCCGCUCCACCCCAGUUCGGACCCCCAUCUCCUCCUCUCCCUCCCCGGCCUAGCCCCCGAGCCUCUAACCCGCCGGAAGAGGAGAAAACCCGCCGGAAACGCCGGGAAGCAUUUCGCCGGAACUCCCUCCUCCGGCCACCAAUCCGGGCAAGCUUGGUACGGAUUUGUAGCCCUCCAACCCAGCAGCCUUGCCCUAAAAUGACUCACUCCCUCUUGAGCUAGGUAAGGAGAAAUUUGAGGUGGAAGUUUUAUGGUGUUUUUGAUGUUUUUAGUCGAUUGCCCUAGUUAGGCUUGGAAUUGGUGUUUGUGCUAGUUAUGAAAGUUGUAGAGUAUGAUGAGAGGAAGAUGUUGUUAAAAUUUCAUAGGAAUUGGAGGUCGCCGGAAUUGGCCUCCGGCCGCCGCCGCCGAUUGGGAGAUUUUAAUGUUGUUAAAUUUGGAAUAUUAAGGGGAGUUUAUUGAAGUGAGUUAUGGAAUUUUUGGAUGAGUUUUGGAUAGGUUUAUGAAUUUCCGAAGUUAGUAUUUUUGGCGGUUAAUUUAUGUAGAAUCCGGCCGUUGGAUUAAGUUGUUUAAUCUGUGGGAAGGUGUAGUUACAGCUGCUGGUUCUAGGGUUGAAAUGUGGACCAUUUCAAAGUUAGGCAAUGAUGAGCGUGUUAAUGGCUCUCGGUUAAUUUCUGCCUAUUUUGUGUAACUAUUGGAAUUUCGGCUGGGAACUUAAUAUUAUAUUUGGAACAGGUCGUGAGGAGGCUCGAGCUGACGAGGCCCCAGAUCGACAUCAGGCUUAGGCCUAAUUAGUGAGUGGACUUUUGUUUUAAAUAAUGUGCGUGCGAAAUAACUUAUGUUGUUGGAGAAUAACCGAAAUUGAGAAUUUCGGUGAGUGUAUAUAUAUAUAUCCAUAUGUGGAUGAUUAUGAGAAUAAUAUGUAUAUGAGAGAAUGCUAGCUAGCUAUACGUGCUUUUCCACCAUACUGAAGUAAAAUUCCAUUAUGGUGCAACGUGAGGGUUAGACGCAAUCGUUAUAGCCCUAUAUAAAAAUAAUAAUUUAUAUAGGGGAUAUGCGCGUAUAUUUAUACACCGUCUUUUCCACCAUAAUGAGGUAAAAUGUCAUUAUGGUGCAACGUGAGCGUUAGACGCAAGCGUUGUAGCCUUGUGUAAAUUUACUAUUUGUUUUAGUUGUUUCAAGAAAAUUCAUACAAGGGAUAUGACGAGUGUAAUACAUACAUAUUUUAUUUUAGCCUGAGAGGCUGCAUUUUAUUGAGCGUUUUGAGCUGUCGCAUGCAGCAUAUUUUCUUUUCUAUGGAAAAGUAAAAAUUGGGAAAGCAUAAAGAAUUAUUUCCUUUAUUUUUUAUUUUUGUCCACUCACUCUAACGUUAUUAAAUGUUUUCCCCUGGGCCUUUCGUUCUAAAUUGCCCAGCCUGCAGAGUUCGGAUUGGAUCUAGUAGGAGGCGAGGCAUAGUCACCCGCAUUUCUGCCAGUUUUCAUCAGUAGGUUACCUGUUCAACCUACUCGUGUUUUCUUGCUUCCGCUUGUGUUUAGUAGCUCUGAAUACUUUAGGAUUAUUGUAUAUUAUGUGAUGUUUGGAAGUGUUGAAUUAAGAGUGAAAUUUGGAAUUUUCGAGUUAGGGUUGUCCAUCUGCAAGGGAGAUUUUCUCAAUCUUUUCAGUAAAUUUUCCUUGGAGGUGGUCCCCGCACGACUUACUUCGGGUUUCAGGGUGAAAUUCGGGGUGGGUCGUGUCAGAUGAAUAAAGCCAAUCUCCUUGCAUAUGACUACAUUGAAGACUACUGGAAGACUACAUUCUACAAGAAAACAUAUGAGCUUCCUAUCUGUCCAGUUCCUCAUCUGGAUAGACCUAACAUCUUGAGUUUUGGAGAUUCCGCAUUGCAGCCUCCCAAGACUAGAAGACCACCUGGAAGACCAAAGUCGAGAAGAAUCAGAUCUUUUGGUGAACAAUGCAAGGAGAUCACUUGCUCGCGUUGUCACACAUUAGGCCACCACAACAGCAGGACAUGCACCAAUCCUAUUUGAGUACAACAUGUGUGUUGUAACGAGAACUUUUUAGAUGUUUUUUUGGCGGUGCAGCGGCACGCUGCCCUUUAGGAUCAUUGAUAUACUUUCAUCAUUUAGUAUGGUCUUUUUGUGGUGCAGCGACAUACGUCCUUUUUUCGGGUUUAUUUUGUUUCAGAUUUUGUUUCGUUAUAAAAAACAAAAGAAUUCAAGGAUUUUUUAUCAAUAAAUGUAGUAUCAGAAUAUUUUUGGAUUUUGUGGUUCAGCAGGUGUAGUAGCUGACAUAUAACUAGUCCAGUCUGUGUAGUAGCAGCUCUUUAACAUUUGCAUUUUUUUUGGAUUUUUUUGUGAUUCAGCAGGUGUGGUAUAGACUUAUAACUAGUCCAGUUUGUGUAGUAGCAGCUCUUUAACAUUUGCAUUUUUUUGGAUUUUUUGUGAUCCUUGUGGUAGCAACUGUGGUAUAUCAAAGGAAAUAUGUCAAUCUAUAAAGAGCCUUUCAAUUUCAUACAACAAAACAAAGGAAUGUUGUAAUGAUAUGCUUCAAGAAAAACCAGAAACCUAAACACCAAAUACAGUAGCACAAUCUCUCUCGAGAAGCUGACGAAGGGAUCAUGGUUGUUAUAUAACUUAGCUCGGUCACGCCAGAGUCCUCUAUAACAAUCAGCAAACAUCACACUGACCGCAGCUCCUGUGUCCACGAGGGCCCUAUGAUACCUGUAGUGAUCCACUUGGACAUUGAUUAUGAAGGGUUCAUUGUGAUGGCAACUGAUCGUAUCUUCCCUCUUGUAAAAUGACACCUGGUCCCAUGUUGUUGGGGUGGUGGUGACACCUCUUUCCAGUUCAAGAAUCUCCAAGUGGCUCGUGCAUUGCCUCAAUUUUUGCCGAAGGCUGACGAGGAGGGAGUCACGGGGCGCCACCAUGUAUGGUUAAGAUCUGUCCGUGAACCUCAAUGGCAUUGGUUCCCAUGGCGGGAGUGCAGUACUGAUGAAGUUGGCCAUUACGAAUCAAGUGCUCUAUGGCAUUGCGGAGGCCAUGGUACAUCUCAGUGGCGUGGCCGUUGUCAUCAUGAUAAGCACAAUAUUUGUUCUUUGUUGGGCGCCGGGGCUUUUUGGGAUACUUGCUCUUAGGUGGCGGGGGAAUGAGAUCUUUGUGCCUGACCCAUAUAUCCUCAUAUGUAGUGGUUAAGGCUGUGUGGACCUCGUAACGAGGUGGUGGGGAGCGACGUUGCUGCUGUUGGGGACUCUGCUCCCAGGACCGAUAAGGAUGGUCCCGUCCCCGCUACCCAUUGUGGCGACGGUCUGAAUUGCGCCCCUGGUUGUUGUCACAGGAGCUGCUUGCUUUUGUCUUGCCCUCGGUCGUAAUGGUCAUACUUUUGUUGGGAUUGCUGCUUGGGGGGUGGGGCUGGGAGUGCUAAUGUGGUAGUUGGGUUAGAAUGUCCAAAGGUGGCAAACUCGGCACGUGCCCAGGGGACAGCAAGGUCCAUCAAGGCAUCGUAUGACCCUGGAGGGUUCCUGUUAAUCUCCAUUAGGAAGCUGCCGGGAAGCAAAGCUUGUUCAGCGACCUGGGGCUCUAAGUUGUGACAGCGUGCCGUGGCUGAUUGCCACCGGGACAAUAACUCAUGGAGUCCUUCACCCUCUUUUUGCUUGAUGUGGAACAAGGCAUCCACAUUGCGGUAGAUGCUGGAAUGGAGUAUGAAGCGGUUGAGGAAGCGUUCCGAGAGCUGGUUGAAAUUGUCAAUGGAGUUGGGAGGCAAGUUGAGAAACCAACUAAGCGCUUCAUCUGAGAGGGUCUCUUGGAAGGCAUGACAAGCCAUAGCAUCUGUGUACCGAGUGGAAUUGCAUAACGAGAGGAAUGUUUCAAGGUGAAGAUGAGGGCCUCCGGCGCCCUUAUACUUGUCCACUUUGAAAGGCUUGGCCUCGGGUGGCCUCUUUUCCAUUUGCACCUGUGGCGUAAAGGGGCUUGGGCGGUGGCCAUAUCCCGAGAAUAGAGGUCGCUGGCUCCUGCGACUCUCAACUCUUUCAAUUCGCGAGGCCAACUGAGUGACAUAAUUGCUGAGCUGGAGGAGAAGUCGAGUUUGCAUGUCGAGAGGUGGGGUAGCACUGUUAGCAGAGUUGAGAUUAGGGAGGGGUGGAUCAGAUGGCAUAGGCUGGUUUAGUAGGGGAAUGGAUUCGUUACUAAUUGUGGAUGGUUGUGGGGUUGGGAGUGGAAAGGAUGGGUGGGUGAGUGGAUGAGUGACAUAGAUAAUCUGGUUGGGGCCUCCCGAGAUCAUGGAACUACUCUGUCCUUGGUUAGGAAAAAGAGAUGUCAAGGUGGCGUCCGGGGUGGGAGUGACCCUUGCUGCCCAAUCCAGACUUUCAUUAUAGUUGUUGCGGUGAUCUAGAGUGGCGCGGAGUAGGAAUUAUUCCUUUUCCAGUUCGGCGAUACGAACCCGAUACGCUUCAGCUUCUGCUUUUUCCUUAGCUGCUUGCUCUCGGAACGCGUGGAAGUCUUUUUUCAAAAUUUCAAGGGCCGUGGCGGCAUCAGGGUGGUUAAUGGGGGCCGCGGUAGCGGUAGUUUGGUUAUGGGAUGUGUCUCCAGAUUGGAAAAGUUCUUUUUCUAUCUGCGUCCCAGGUUCGUUUGGGUCAUCCACAAUUUCUACCAUCCUGUUAAAAGUUAAAUGGGAGUUCCAUAAGAGGGGCCCCUCCUUCUAACGCCAACUGUUUCUACCUCUUCCGUGAACACGGGACGAGAGGCCGAAUCCUUCGCUCCGGGUCCUGUAACUGCACAAGCAACAAUGCGUCAGGAGUCGAGACUGGGAUGGCCCAGUCUUCGACUCUCCGAUGCUUAAGUCAGCGUUUGAUUGCUACUUGUAUAGUACGGGAGUAUGGGAGGAGUAGUAGAACUUACCUCUUUUAGGAAUUCGUGCCUGUUUUAUAGGCUAGUGUUGGGGGUUUUGUCAUUAGUUCCCGAUGUGGGACUGUUUCGUGGUACUGUUCAGUCAUUUCCCUUUCAGGGGCGUUUAGCUGCUUCAUAGUGGGUUUGGCAUGUGUAUUGCUGUUAUGCUCCCACUCUUUGGGUACCCACAGAAGGUCUGCCGGUGAUGGCUUGGCCGGAAUGGCUUUCGACGAGUGGGUAAUGACACGGCAUUCUAGGCAUGGCCAAGUGUUUUGGCUAUGUAUUAACAUUUUAAACAACAAAAACCUAAACACUCCAAAUACAGUAGCAGCAUUGCUAACCAAUGUAAUCAAGAGCAUCACAUCUGAAGAUCACAAAAUAUCAAGAGACAUCAUGCCUAUACUCUCCUCAAGUACGAAAACUACAGAACAACGUAAUUAUAUUUAUCCAUAUGAUAAAACAAUAGUCGACCGCACAAUUGAUUAAUCAGCAAUAUCCAAAAAAACAUGACCUACUAAACAGAGAAAAAUUGUAAUCCUAAUGAGUUCAUAAUCUCAAAAUAAACAGCAAUACGCAGUAGCAGCCCUCAUAUGCAAACAUGAUAGGAGCACAAAGUGUGACGUUCUUAAUAUGUUUAUACCCUUUAUUUACCCUUUGUUAACUCCUAUUUAGUUGUUUUAGCUUUAUAUUUGUGUUUAAUGUAGAAUAAUUGCUUAACGUAGAAAUAUGUAGGUUUUAGUGUUAGAAUACAUAGUAUUUUCGGAUUUGAAUAAUUUGGUGUUGAAAUUGUGCUAAGUGUUGGAAAUCCUUGUUUACUCAGGAUUCCUAUCUUGAUCAGGAUUCCAUCUUUCCUCUUUCCUAGUUUCUAAUUUUCUUAUUUCUAUUUCAGGAAAGUCUAAACCCGUGUUGACCGGGAAAUGUUUUCCUGACUCAUGAGGGAAAGGUGGCCGGCAACUAGGAGUUCCUGCUUGAGCUAGGAGAAGUACAAUCCGAGAUAUGUAUGGAAGAUGCCGUGAGAUUUCCCAAGUCACCAAGGAAAGAGACCGUGCGGCCCAAGAGAGAAGGUUUUCCAAGUUCAAGAUGGUUUUGUCAUUCCUUAAUACAUAAGGAUUACUUGAAGACCAAGAGAGGAAGUUAAAUCCAACUUGGACUUGGUUUUGCCGAUUUAAUAAGGAUUCCUUGUGCUUGAGGAAUUCUUGGAGAUCAAGUCUUGUUACUCUAUAUAUAGGGCACGGCAUGGCAGCAGUUUAUCAUCAUCAACCCGUGCAAAAUUACACCAAAGCUUUGCCGAAACUCCAUCAUUCUCCAAACACCAUAAUCCGAACUCACCAUCAUCCUUGAUCCGAAGCAAGUAGCCUAGGGUUCCGCUCACUCGAAAAAUAGAACAAGUAGGGAUAUUUUGAGAGNNNNNNNNNNNNNNNNNNNNNNNNNNNNNNNNNNNNNNNNNNNNNNNNNNNNNNNNNNNNNNNNNNNNNNNNNNNNNNNNNNNNNNNNNNNNNNNNNNNNNNNNNNNNNNNNNNNNNNNNNNNNNNNNNNNNNNNNNNNNNNNNNNNNNNNNNNNNNNNNNNNNNNNNNNNNNNNNNNNNNNNNNNNNNNNNNNNNNNNNNNNNNNNNNNNNNNNNNNNNNNNNNNNNNNNNNNNNNNNNNNNNNNNUGUUUUGAUUCUUGUCUAUGAGAUAGAAGUACUUUUGAGCUAUGUGUUGAAUUGAAGUUUAUGAUUUAUGAUCAAUGAUUUUAGGUUUUAUGCCGUGAGUUUUAUGUCCAUGUACUUUAAGAUUUUCAGUGUAUUCUUCUAUUUUCAUGUGUAAUUGAUACAAGUAGUUGAUGUUGCAUGUGUUAAUCAUCCAAGGUUCGACUUUGAUACAAGUAGUUGAUAAGUUGCAUUGUCUUUGUUAUUUCACCGAUUUUCUACCUAUGUUUGAUUUGGACUUGUGCUUAAACAUAUCGAUUCUUUAUGUGAUACGUAAUUGCAUGAUUAGUUUAUGUGUGUGACCUAUAAGUAGAGCACGUAGCCGAGCUUGUUUGUGUCACGAUGUUGAAUGAAACCCGUAGUCUAAUUCAAAGUAUGUCUAUGUCAUAGGAACCACGUAGGAACUUAUGUGCAUAUCAAAUUUAGGUUUUGUAUUUGCUCACGGUGUGGACUUAAUUGAGAUUAGAGAUCGUCUUCUUUGUUCUUGCAUGGUUGUUUGGUUGUGUUUGCAUGAUUGUUGGUUGAUCACAUGUAAAUAUGUAUAGAGGUAAUUUAGGAUUUAUUUUCAAUGUUAUUCCGAAAUCAUCAAACCCUUAAACCCUAUAUGCAUAUUUCGACAUUUUUAUUAGGUUAGAUGGAUCUACCCUGUAGUUGGAUCCCCGGUUUAGAACGAUCCCUGCUUGCUUUAUACUAUGAUUGAUUUGUUGACAAGGUUAAUUGAUGCGUGUGCAAAUACGUUUUAUCAAAACACAUAGACUUUCAAUCAUGCUUCUUCCUUUGUCUCUUUAAGGGAAUCUGGACCUCAAAAUCUUCCAUCUUCUUCUCUUUCCGGUCAGUCCUUGCUUUGAUCCUUCUUACAACUGAACAUGUCCUCGGUCCUUUGAUAUGAGCACAAAGUGCUAUGUUUAUAAUGUGUUUCCUACCCUACUUAGCUAUGAUAUUCUCAUAAUAUUACCAUUUCUGAUAUGUUUUGUUAUUAUACAGGACAUGAGAGCAUAAAUCAAGAAAAGAAGGCUAAAUGAUGGAAAUAAGAGAAAAAUACAGAAAAAGACAAAUAAGCCUUCUUGCAGUCCAAGGAAGGAAGAUGAAAGGCACAAAGAGCUUAAUUGACAAAAGAAGGCCCAAGUAGUACAAAAAUGCAGAAAGCCCAAAAGAAGGCAAGUAGUCCAAGGAUGGAAAAGAAGGCCCAAGCAACCCAACAAAGGGAGGAGAAAAGUCAAACUUAUGGCGCUACUCCCACAUCAUUUUUUAGGAGAAGUUCCACCAAGACUUCCUCUAUAUAAAGACAGCCUUGGGUACUUCUUAGGGCAUCAUUCAUUCACACAAAAGUCAGGGAAACACAUAGCUCUGCUGAGCAGCCUCUCCCUCUCCUUUGUUGAGUUUCUUCCUAGCCAAAGCCUUGUUGGACGUUUCCACAAGAGCAGCAACUUGGGAGCCUUGAAGCUUUGAAGCUGGAGCACUUUUUAGAUGUCUACAAGCUUCUUGAAGACUGAUAAAGUGUAACCCUACCUCUGUUUUGUUUAGUUUUCUUUUACAAUUUCAGAAACAUGUUUUCGGUUUUCAAAUAUUGGAUUUGGAUGUUGUUUCGAUGGUUAUGUUGUUAGUAAAUUCUGAGUUUCAGUAAAGCAUGCUAAAGUUUCGUUAAUGAUAUUUUUAGCAAUCUGAUCUUGUCAAUUCAUAGGUUAGAAAGUAUGUGUUGUUGUUUGAUAUACCUAUGUUAGAAUGCAUGCUAACUAAUGCCAUGAUUUAUGCUAAGCCUCGUAGGUAAGUGUAGAUCUCCAGUGGUGGAAGUUGUGUCACAGAUAUAGCUGAAUACAUAUACUAUGCAAUUCCCUGUUGUGACGUUGAUGAUAUAAUUGUGUUCAAUCUCGUUCUAUAGAUCUUAAGGACUCAUAUUAAGUGUAGACAGAUACUUGUAGUAUUGAUAGCAACCUUGCAUGAGAUGUCCUAGUUCUAGACGUUCUGUGCUAGGGAUAAGUAAGAAGAACUAUAAAAUGCAUGACCUCGUAGGCUUGUAUUUUGAGAUUGUUUCUAGCUCUCUGAAUUGGCAUGUUAUCAGAUUGUUAAGGUUGAAAUGUGAACUUUGAUGUGUGGUCAAAAUCUGAGUUUCUCUCUUAUGGAUGUGUUGAAUGAAUCGAUCACUUGUAUAUAUUAGUUUAGCCUUUAUCUUUAUCUUUUAGUAGGAACAUUAGAACAAACCUCAAAACCCCCCUUAGUAAAUGUAUAUAUUGAUAACUACUGAUUUUUUACAUGACCAUUGUUACAAGAGCACCCUUAGUCCCCAGAUUGAUCGAACCUUAUUUGCCUUAUACUACGAUUGUCAAAAAUGGUUCUUAAUUGUCGCACGCCCGGUAAUGGGCGAGUCAUCCUUCUCUUUCAGCCGCACCUCCUACAUCUGUACCUUCUUCUUCCCCUGCACCUUCUACGUUUCCAACUGAACCUUCUUCUUCCCCUGCAGUAGCAACAUUUUCAGCUGAACCUUCUUCUCCCUAUGCAGUAGCAACCUUUUCCGCUCCUGAACCUUCUACAUCAUUUCCAGCUGAACCUCCUUCAACCUGAGUUGUAACACCAACCUCACUCGUUUCUUCCUUUUGUCCUAGCAACAACAAUUUAUACUUGUAUUCCAACUUUUUUAUGUAAUCAUUUUUCUGCUUCAAUGUUUUCUUCAACUUUUUGUUAUUUCUCUUCAGUUCUUCUCUUUCAUCCCAAAGGCGCACAUAAGAGUCAUUCUUCGAUUUGCAGCUAUAGAUUGCACUCGCCACCAUUUCUCCCCUUACUUUGGACAAACCCUGCCAGUAUUCCAACUCCUCAUUGCUAGUUGCUUUUGGAAAUUCCUUAGACUCCUUUUCAACAAACUCUUCAUACAACCUGAAGUCCUCCGGAUCAUACAUUUUCUCACUCGCAAACUCUUCAUGUCCUCCUCCUUGAUCCGCAUCCUUAUCUUUAUUGAAAAACUUCUUCAAAAUCUCUUCUGUGUUUGCUGCUACUUCUUCGUAUGUUUCACCUUCAUCAUCCACAGCAGCAGCUUUUUCAUUCCCUCCAGCUGACAAAAAAAAGGACAAAUAAAUUAGUCAAGUUUAAUUCCACUCAUAUCUACUGUAAGUGUAAUCUAAGUUUUAUACUUACCCAACCAUUUAAUGUCAUGUCGAAGGAUCCAAGGCCUUCACAAGUAUCCACUUUGGCUUCUGAAGUAGCACCCUCUUCGGUUUGUCCACUAGAACCCUCUACGGCUUGUGCAAUAGCACCCUUCUCAGCCACCAUAGGAGCACCCUUUUCGGCUUGUGUAGUAGCACCUUCUUCAACUUGUACACUAGCACCCUCUUUGGUUUGCGCAGUACCACCCUUCUCAGACACCACAUGAGCACCUUCUUCAGAUUCUGCAGGACCACCCUUCUCAGCCACCAUAGAAGCACCCUCUUCAACUAGUGCAGUAGCACCCUUCUUCAAGUUCUUCCUCGCUUCUUUCUUCUUUCCCACCUCAUCAUGCAUUCUUUGGUGGAGGGUUCUCAAAGUCAUCGUCACCAACUGCAUUAUCAACCUGUAGUGCAGUGUUUUUCUAAUAAAUAUAGGGUUCUCAGAAAAAAUAAUAGUUUAUUUUUGAACAAAUAACAACUAUGAUUUAUUUUGUAGUAGUAGCUUUUUAUUGUUUUUCAGUGUAGUAGCAGCUAUUUUUUUCUAUGUAGUAGCGAAAAGAAUUUGGUAGUACCAAAACCCAAUUAAGAAGCUAAAGUAAAAUUUAAUAGAGUUGCAUGAGCAGUCUUACUGUAUCUCUCAAUGUCUGUUUUACAGUCCUUUUCUCUGCGACAUGCUUUUGCUUCUUUGCUCUCUUUUGUUUUUUUUCCCACUUCUUGCUCCACCGCAGUAGCUUGGCUUGAUGAUGCUUUAUUCUCUUCUACUCGUUGUCUUUUUUUGCCUUUUGGCUUUGCAGCAGCAUGCUUUGGUGGAUGAUUCAUAAAAUCAUCAUCACCUUGUUGUUCAUUAUCCUUCGCAUUUGUCUCAUCCUCAGCAUUAUCAAUCUGCAAUACAAGUUUUCCCAAUUAAUCUAAAAUCAUCAUCACCUUGUUGUUCAUUAUCCUUCGCAUUUGUCUCAUCCUCAACAUUAUCAAUCUGCAAUACAAGUUUUCCCAAUUAAUCUAAGAAAAAAUGAUCACAACACAGUAGCUAAGCUAAAUGAAAAUGUAAAAUCAAAUAGUAGCAGCUACAUUUGUUAUAUGUAGUCGCAACUUAAUGUUUGCAAACUAAAAUUAUAUGGAGUUGCCACAUCAGUAAAUAGACAGCUCCGUCUCGAAAAUUGGACGGAGGUAUCUUAUUGAUGCCAAAAUCAAUUUUUGGGCAUCACACUGAUAUUUUUUAAAGUUCGAGUAUCACAUUGGCCUUGACACAAUAGUUCAGGGACCGUUGGUGAAUUUUUCUCUUUUUUUAAACACCGUUGUGAAAGCAGGGAGACUCCACUUUACGCAGCACGGAGUCAUCCCACAUCUCCCAUCAAUUUCACAAAGCACGGUGCUUCUUUCACAAAUCCAGUACUACAAAACAAAAACAAGCAUGUAAGAAAGUAGUAUUAGCAGUAGCACAUAAUUCAAAGGCAGUAGCAGUAACACUAUUGCUUACCGGGAUCAAUACUACACAUCCACUACUAGUGUGAGCCCUCCCAUCCUCUGAAGUAGUCAAGCACGAUAAUAAGUAAUCCCCAACUCCUUUGGCCCAAUUGUACUUCUUCAUGGUGUCAUAAUCUAUUAUGCAUUUGACAAAGGUCCAACCAAGAGUCGAACCCGAACUUGCAAACAAUAGUGUGGUGAAUAAAUGCAGUAGCAAGAGCUGUGUGACUCUCAUUGGCCAUCCAUACCUUUUGACUUUCACUUCUGCAUCCAGGAGAUCAAAUAUCCUUGACUUUGUUAUCCUGAUUUCAUUGCCGAAAAAAGCUUGCCCCACUGAAUUAUCCACAGGCUUUUUUGAAUCUUCAAGUGGGGUCGGCACAUUGAGCCCGUUUUUUGGGUUUUACAGCCCAAAAAUCUGCUCUACAUUAGACACACUGAUCUCAGCCACCUUGUUUCCAAACUUGAACUUCUUCAAUGUUGGCACGUAGCAGUCAAUCAAUCGCUGAAUUUCUCUAUCCGACUUCUUUGCAGUGGAUUUUGACACCAAACGUCUAUCAUAUAUUGAUAUGAAAUCCCAGAAUGGUGUCUUCGUUAGCUCAUUUCUUAGAAUCUCCUUAUCCUUACCUAAGUCCUUGCAAACCUUGGUGAAUACUUCUUCAAAUGGCAACAUGUUGCAUCUGAAUUGACAAAAUUUCUGCUCACACCUUGGCUUUUUAACCUUGUCUACUUCCUUGGCUUUUUGCUGUUGUUUACGCUUCCUUGGCAACUUUUUUCUACACGCUAGAGUCUUAUAUCGCUUCCCUUUCGGUUUGGCAUUCAUAUCAUUUUGCACUUGUGCACAGUAGCAAGAAAAUCAGAAUUAAACAACUCAUGUUACAAUAGCAGAUAUAUUAAUUUCUUACUUUUUACAGUAGCAUGAGCAUGAUUAAGUUAGCAGGAAACAAUUGAAACAGUAGCAGUUUAAAUUAUACUUUAGCACGUGUAGUAGCAGACUUAUUAGUAGUCUAGUCUGUGUAGUAGCAGCUCUUUAACAUUAAUGUUUUUUAGGAUUUUUUUUAUUCUUAAUAGUCAGCAAGUGUAGUAGCAGAUACAUAACUAGUCUAGUCCGUGUAGUAGCAGCUCUUUAACAUUAGCAAUUUUUUUGGAUUUUUUGUGAUUCUUAAGGUUCAGCAGGUGUAGUAGCAGACAUAUAACUAAUCUAGACAAUUCAAAACAUAUUCUCAAUUGUAAAACACUGAAUACAUAGACCACUCAUGAUAAAAAAAUACAGUAGCAGAGAUAUUGCAAAUGAGCAUGUGCAUAGAGAAUUACCUGGAUAUCGUUUGCCACCUCUGUUUCUUUUUGGCUCAUUAGUAUCAUUGUAGACCCCUGUUCCUCCUUUAAUCAAAUCUAUAAACUGCUACUGCGUCCAAAAGCACUGUAAAACAUGAAUUUCGGAUUCUUAUAAACUCAGUGCUACUGCUCGAUUAUGAAAUCGAAAAAGAAAUAGUGAUUUCAAGUUCAAAUAACACCAAAUCUAAACGAAAUGCACAAACACAAAGCCAAUCCAUGAAAUCGAGUUCAAAUUCAUAGAAAUCAAUUAUUCAUUUCUGAUACAAACACAAAGUGCUAUGUUUAUAAUGUGUUUCCUGCCCUGUUUAGCUAUGUUAUUUUUGUAAUAAUGCCAGUUCUAACAUGUUUUGUGUCACAUCCCGACCCUUAUAUUUUUACCUUAUUUACUAGCGUGAUUAUAAUAAGAAUUUUACCGUCUCCGUCAUUGAGUAAAUAGUUUAAUUGGUCCCUAGAGGGGUUUCGGGGACGAUUAUGUGCGGAGGAUUAUUAGUAUGAAGAAAAUACGACGACGGUAAAAAUAGUAAAUUUUAGCUAGUAAAAGGUAAUUUUUAUUCGGGUAUUAUUUUUCGGGGUGUUGAAUUUUGGAUUAAAAAGGAGAGUUGGGUCGGCUGGGCCGAGCCCAACCCAUUUCUUCUUCCUUUCUCUCUCUCUCCCUCCCGAUUUUUCUUCUCUUCCCACCCGAGUUUUUUCUCUCUACACCCAGCAGACUUNNNNNNNNNNNNNNNNNNNNNNNNNNNNNNNNNNNNNNNNNNNNNNNNNNNNNNNNNNNNNNNNNNNNNNNNNNNNNNNNNNNNNNNNNNNNNNNNNNNNNNNNNNNNNNNNNNNNNNNNNNNNNNNNNNNNNNNNNNNNNNNNNNNNNNNNNNNNNNNNNNNNNNNNNNNNNNNNNNNNNNNNNNNNNNNNNNNNNNNNNNNNNNNNNNNNNNNNNNNNNNNNNNNNNNNNNNNNNNNNNNNNNNNNNNNNNNNNNNNNNNNNNNNNNNNNNNNNNNNNNNNNNNNNNNNNNNNNNNNNNNNNNNNNNNNNNNNNNNNNNNNNNNNNNNNNNNNNNNNNNNNNNNNNNNNNNNNNNNNNNNNNNNNNNNNNNNNNNNNNNNNNNNNNNNNNNNNNNNNNNNNNNNNNNNNNNNNNNNNNNNNNNNNNNNNNNNNNNNNNNNNNNNNNNNNNNNNNNNNNNNNNNNNNNNNNNNNNNNNNNNNNNNNNNNNNNNNNNNNNNNNNNNNNNNNNNNNNNNNNNNNNNNNNNNNNNNNNNNNNNNNNNNNNNNNNNNNNNNNNNNNNNNNNNNNNNNNNNNNNNNNNNNNNNNNUUUUUGUCCACUCACUCUAACGUUAUUAAAUGUUUUCCCCUGGGCCCUUCGUUUUAAAUUGCCCAGUCUGCAGAGUUCGGGUUGGAUCUAGUAGGAGACGAGGCAUAGUCACCCGCAUUUCUGUCCAGUUUUCGCCAGUAGGUUACCUGUUCAACCUACUCGUGUUUUCUUGCUUCCGCUUGUGUUUAGUAGCUCUGAAUACUUUAGAAUUUUUGUAUAUUAUGCGAUGUUCAGAAGUGAUAAAUUAAGAGUGUAAUUUGAAAUUUUCGAGUUAGGGUUGUCCAUCUGCAAGGGAGAUUUUCUUAAUCUUUUCAGUAAAUUUUCCUUGGAGGUGGUCCCCGCACGACUUACUCUGGGUUUCAGGGUGAAAUUCGGGGUGGGUCGUGUCAUUUUGUGAGUGUGAAGGCAAAAGAGCAGAAAAGCAGAAAAGGAAGCUAAAACCGGCAAUUUAAGAGAAAUCCUAAUCAGAGGAGGAUUCUUGGUGCAGCAAGAAGUCUCAUUAAGUCGCAAAAUCUGAGGAUAAGUCGUUUAGGAAACUUUCUUGUUUUGAAAAGGGAAACUUACCUAUUUCAUUUUAAGAACUUUCUUAUUUUGAUUUAGGAAACUUACUACUUUUGAAUCUUUCCUAUUCUAACUUUCCUAAAAUAUUUAGGAAACUUUCUUUUCUGAUGAGACAGGGAAAUCAUUUGAAGUCAGGAAACCUAAUCCAACUUGGAAUAGAAUGUCUUGGAACGUGUAUAAAAGAGGAAGGACGAAUUCUGCAGUAAUCAAGGGAUUUAUGUGUGCUAAUAUAAAUAAGAAAUUAAGGGAGAUUCUUUCCUUUAAUUUCGUCAUUUGAAUUCUGUUAUUCCCUAAUUGCGCACCAGGAAAAGAAGGAAAAUCAAGGAUUUUCGUCAAAUGUCUGAUUGAAGGCAGAAGAAGGAAGGUUUUCACUGCUGUGAUUUCUUUUGGAGAACAAAAAACAUACCUGGCCUCUAUUCAAGCCUCAUGCAAUGAAUUACUGCAAAAGACAUUCCAGAGAAUUCUGGGCAGUUCUAAAUCAAGAUUUAAAGCAAUAAUUCUGCACCGUUGGAUCAGAAAUUAAUCAAGGGCUAGGAGGAUAGCUAGGGUUCGGCCAGACCAGUGUAUAAAGGAGCAAAGGAGCAACGUUUUGGGCAUCACUUCUCACGCAUAGACUUCUGCCCUUACAUCAUAAUAGCCUUUUCUCCAUUGUUUUCGUCCAAGACAGCAGAGCCUCCAUCCAUUGAAGCUUGCUCUACCUUGGUGUUCUUCAGAACGUCACUUCGGAGAUAAAAAAAUGUAACAAUGCCUCAAUCGAUUUCUCUCUGUUCUGUAGUAAUUUCUUUUGUUAGAUUUUUAGAACUCCUGCGUUUUGGAUUGAGAUUGUUGUUGAGAAUAUGGUUAUAUUAAUUAUCAGAUUUAUAAAGUUGUGUUUUUGAAUUGUUUAUGAGAUUUACUUGACUUAUUUUCGUGUCAUUCAUGAUGUUGAAACUUAUGAUCUGGUUUAUGUAAAUGACUAACUUCUGCAGGGUUGGUAUUGCCAUUUAUCUGUGUUAAACCGCUAAGGCAAACAUAGAUUGAUUAAGUGGCAAAAGCUUAGAUUCAUGGGAAUGGGUCAGGUUUUGAUCAUGAGUUGCAUGUGAACUGUUUAAGCGCUAAGAUAAACUUGUUUACAUGUUCGAAUUCUUCUGUGAACUUAAGGAUUCAUGUUUUAUGUUGUAUGGUUGUGCUAAGUAUUAACAUGACAUAUUGCAUGGAAUUUUCUGUGUUAAACCGCUAAGGCAAACAUAGGAUACUUAAGCAGAUUAUUAUAGGUUGCAUGACCGCUACGGUGUAUAAUUCUGAAUUCGUUUCACAAUUCUUGAUUGGCAUGAUUUUAGGUUGUGUAGAUUGAAACAAUUUAUUCACAGGAUUUUAUAUGUUUGUGUGUGUUUAAAGUCGAUCACUUGUAUAUAUUUUAUUUUCUGUUUUAGUAGGAACAUAGAACAAACCUUCAAAACCCCCCUUUUAUCUAUUGUACCAUGUGUAUAUCUGUAACUGAAUACUUGUAAAUACUUAUAAUUACUGAUUGUUUAGUGUAACCAUGACUGCAGGAGCGCCCUUUAGGUCCCCGGAUUGAUCGAACCCUAUUUGCCAAUACUACAUUCUGAUAAAAAAGGGUUUUUAAAUUGUGCGCCCGGUAACGAGCACGUCAAUUUCUGAUUGCUACUAUAAAAUCGCUAAGCUAAAAACUGAAUCUCAGACAUGCAGAAGCCAUAGAAGAUUGAACAAUUACCUGAAUCGUGAAUCGUGAGAGACGUCGAUCUACUACUGUGGAAUUGCUACUGUGAUUUUAGGGUUUGGAUGGAAAUGGUGGAGAAUUUUGGGACGAAUCUUUCUGCUACUGUGAUUUUAGGGCUUGGGAUUUUGAGAGAGAAUCGUUGUUUUGAAUGGAAAUGGUGGAGAAGUGCGGGACGAAUCGGCAGUUGGGGUUGAGGCAAUGGCAGUUUUGUAGUUAUUUUAGAAAAGAUUGGUUUUUUGAGUAUUUUGUGUGAAAAUUGUUGUCAGGGCGUGAGACUAUGCAUUGUGGGCUUGGGCUUAUGUCUUUAUUUGUUUAAAUCUGUUGCAAGGUGGUUUUUCUGUGUUUUGCAACUGCCUAUGGUAGUGGGUUGUCAUUUUCUAAUCUGAAAAACCACCAAAUUACUAAGGGCGCCCAAAAGGGUUUACAUAAAUGGAAGGUUUCCAAAAACGGAAAGUUUCCUAAAAUAAAAACUUUCAUAACUUGGUAAUUUUUCCGAUUACAACCCAAAUUUUCCUAUUUCUGAAGCGAAAAUUCUUCCAUUCACGGUGAAAAUUCACUAAGUGACGUGGCACAAGCACAACCACAAGUUUUAAUGUAGACCAUGUUUUGACUAACUUUAGCUCAGCUCCGUUAAUGUUUGGAACUUUGGAAUUGAUGAGUGGAAGGUAGAAAAAAAUGGGUAAAAUCCUUCUGCCUAGCUGGGUUAAAUGUAGACCAAAAACCUCAACCCUCUCCGGUGAGGAAAUCAUCUGUUCUGAUCCGAGUCUCUCUCUACCGCCACGACUCGACAUCUGGGAGAUCCCCUCUCCCGCAACGACUUGCUCUCCGCCGCGUCUCUGAUGAUCUCCAGUUUGACAUGGCGGGCCUGAUCUCCACCUCUAUCCGGUCAACCCUCGACUGCCCGCUCAACUACUCAGCCCUCUACCUCGACUCCGACCUUGUACUCGUCGACGACAUUGCCAAGCUGGCCACCACGACGCCACCCAUCUCUCCUUAACCUUUGAGGGCCGCGACGCUUGCUACUUCAACACCGGUGUAAUGAUCAUCGACCUCGACCGGAGGCGGGCCAGCAUCUACACCAACCGUAUCGUCGAGUGGAUGGAACUUCAUAAGCGAAUGCGGAUCUACGAGCUUGGUUCUUCAUAAUGGGGAUCAGUCUCCUGCAGAUGUUUGGAAGAUGAGAAUGCAUUGGAAGUUGGAACUGGACGGCGAUAUGAGAAAAUGACUAUUUCUCUUAAUUGUAAUUUUACUUCUUUACCCAUUCUAGAUAAUAUGGUUUUCCUAGUGUUUAGAUAAGGGGUAUAUAGUUACGUCAAAGCAUUAUAAUACUAGGGUUACCUAUUUGUUCUUUGUUCUUUUUUGUGUAAAUUUAGUUUUAAUUACAAUCUUUAACUAACGGUUUGAUAUAAAACGAUUGGCUUCUCUGGGAACUUUUUUAUAAGCUAACUCAACUUAAAAACUCAAUAUUGUUAGGAUAAAAAUGGUGGAGAAACGUUAUUGAAAAUAAGUAAAUUUUUCUAUAUUCAUUUUUUUUUGUCGGAAGUCAAAACUAAUAUUAUUCACCAAGUAUACAUCUUUAUAAACCAACUAUAUAUAGAUGAUAAAUUUUUGAAAAAUCGACCGUAGGAUGUGAUCGGUAUAGUGAAAUACAGGUAUGGUGGAAAAUUCAAUCAUUUUCGAUAAUACUUGGACCCCGAUCAAGACAGUCAACUAUUUUUACGUUUAUGCUUCCUUAUGGGGAACCCUAUCGUUGAGAUUUAAAUUUUCCUCAAAUUUAAUAUGGGCUGUUACAUCUCAUCAAUGUGAGAGUGUGUUGGUGGAAGAAUAGACCAAAAUAAGUCACGAAUGGAUAUGUAUGAGCGUUUUCGUGUAAUAAGUGACAUAAUUUAUUGUUGACUGUGUCGAUUGAUGCCCAAACGUUAUCGAAAAUAGGUGAAUUUUUCUUCAUUGACAUUUUGAAGUGUACUGAUCACAUCAGACGGUCAAAUUUUCAUUUUUAAAAUUUUAGUCAUUGGAACUACAACAUGCCUGCUAAUAUUAUGUAACUUGUUUAGUGGGUUAUAUGGAAAUGUAUAUUUGUGUGAACCAACUAUAUCUAGCAGAUAAAAUUUUCUAAAAUCGGCCGUUGGAUGUGAUCGGUACAUUGAAAUACUGCUACGGUAGAAAAUUCACAUAUUUUCGAUAAUGUUUGGACCCCGAUCGACGUGGUCAACCAUAUUUACGUUUAUGCUUCCUAUGGGUAGCCUUGUUUUCGAGAGGUAAACUUCUCCAAAUUUUUAUAUGGGCUGCUGCAUGUUAUCUAUGUGAGAGUGUGUGGGCGGAAGAAUCGACCAAAUAAGUCUCAGAGGGGUAGGUAAGAGCGUUUACAUGUAAUAAAUAGGCGUUGAUUUAGAGUUGACCGUGUCGAUCGAGACCCAAACUUUAACGAAAAUAAGUGAAUUUUUAUUCAUAGCCAUAUUUAAGUGUACUUAUCAUAUCAGACAGUUGAAUUUUCAUUUUGUGAACUUUAAUCAUUAUAACCACAACAUUUAUACUAAUGUGGUAUAACUUGUUUAGUGUUCUAGGAUAUUCUCUAUGUGUGCCUUGGCCUUAUGCCAAUAGGAUAUAUAGUUAGACUAGAUCUAUGUAUUCAUAUCCUUACCAUAUUGGUAUUGUGUAAUUCCCUAUAUAAAGGGCUCCUAUCAAUGAAUAAGAUGAUGACUCUCUUGCUAUCUCUUUGUCUCUACACUUUAUCCUUCAUCAUGUUAUCAUGCACUUUGUUCUAACCCUAGAGCCAAUAGCCCACCAUUUUUUUUUUUUCUAAACCCUAAAAACCAAAACCCUAAAAUCGGGCAGCCUUGUUUUUCCCGAUUUCCGACCAAAAUUCCGACUACCCUCCGCCGGAAUUUUAUAUCCCCAUAAAGCACUCUCCGCCUCGGAUCCAACGCCGCCGGUCUCACCCUGAGAACCGGCCGGAAAGUCUCCGAACCGGCCGCCGGAAGAUUCCAGACUGCCGCCGCUACCGACCACCGGUUCACCACCUUCCCUUGCUCCGAUCAACCUGAAAUUUUGACAGCAGCUUCCCCAUCCAGAGCUGCUCCUCCUGUCAAAUUUUCAGCCCCAAAUUCGAAGUAUAAGUAGGCGAAACGUUAUUUCUCCUCUCGGCAGCCUCUAGAAAGGUAUGUUUUGAAACCUUAAACUUUUCCAAGUUCAAUAACUCGGGGAGGAUAAAAUCCUUUCCUCNNNNNNNNNNNNNNNNNNNNACUAACUACUACUACUACUACUACUACUCUACUCUCUCUCUCUCUCUCUCUCUCUCUCUCUCUCUCUCUCUCUCUCUCUCUCUCUCUCUCUCUCUCUCUCUCUCUCUCUCUCUCUCUCUCCUCGCCCUUCUCCUCCUCUCGACAAAUCUAUGAUAUGAGGAUAGCUCGACUUGGGCUCAAGGGGUCGAGAUGCCUCAGGCUAACUCAAGAUCACACCUCGGUUCAUGGAUCAAGUCAGUGAUGAGAUCAGAUCUGGGCUCAUGGCAUUGGCAAUUGAUGGAGGCCUUGUAAGCUUCAUGAAACUUCUGGAUGCCUUCUUUACCGAUGACUUUCCGAUUGGUUUGGAAGGGAUGACGAUGAGUGGAUCUUAUGUGAAAAUUAAGCAAAAGGCUAUAUGUAUUAGGAGAAGAAGUUUGAUAAUUCAGAGAGAAAGAAAUGUUCGUGUUGGUAAUGCAUCUGAGCUAGCAUGUGGGUUGAGAGGCUUGGAGUAAUAGUCUUGGGUAAUGGGUAUAAAUGUAGGUUAUGGUAUUUGGGAUAGAUGGGCAUUUAACAUGGUUGCUCUCGUUAUUGCUCCAUUUUGAAAUUGAUGAGAAACUUGAGUACAGUAAGUGUAGUAGCACAACAACACGAGAGCAGUGCAGUAGCAGGGAUGAUGUAUUCAAUGACUAGUCCAGUAGCAAGGAUGAUGACUGGGUAUAGUAGCAGACUCGAACGAGUAAUAAUGUAGUAGCACAACAAUACAAAUACGAGUUCAGGGAGUGCAGUAGCAAAAUAGCAGAACAUGAUUGCGAUAGCAUAACUUAAAAUGAGUUUCUCAGUAGAUAGUACCAGCUUUAUGUGAACUACAGGAUAAGGCAGUAGAAGAACUGGAGUAUAAGACAAUAGCAAAAUUGGAGGAUAAUCUUCAAACAAUAGUAGUAGAAGUGGAUAAUUGCAGUAGCAGAAGUGGAAGAUAAAGCAGUAGCAGAACUAGAGGAUUGUCGAAGCAUACUUGUGCUACUACUGGGAUGUUAACCCCUGCUACUACUUCUACUGGAAUGUUAAGCCCUACUACUACUUCUACUAGAAUUAACUGAUACUACACUAAAUUACUGAAAACCUGCUACUGUAUACCAUUUACUAAAAAAUCUCAAAAAUAAAGACUUUGUUCUAGGAUAUUCUCUAUGUGUGCCUUGGCCUUAUGCCAAUAGGAUAUGUAGUUAGACUAGAUCUAUGUAUUCAUAUCCUUACCAUAUUGGUAUUGUGUAAUUCCCUAUAUAAAGGGCUCCUAUCAAUGAAUAAGAUGACUCUUUUGCUAUCUCUUUGUCUCUACACUUUAUUCUUCAUCACGUUAUCAUGCACUUUGUUCUAACCCUAGAGCCAAUAGCCCACCAUUUUUUUUCCAAACCCUAAAAUCGGGCAGCCUUGGUUUUCCCGAUUUCCGACCAAAAUUCCGACUGCCCUCCGCCGGAAUUUUAUAUCCCCAGAAAACUCUUUCCGUCACGGAUCCAACGCCGCCGGCCUCACCCUGAGAACCGGCCGGAAAGUCUCCGAACCGGCCGUCGGAAAAUUCCAGACCGCCGCCACUACNNNNNNNNNNNNNNNNNNNNCCAUCUCCAUUCUAUGCUUGGGAUUUUGUGCGUGCAGGUACCCAAAUCCCGGAAUUUUAUUCGCGGGUCAAGAGUGUGUUUGAUCACUCUUGUUUCUUUGUCCGGGUUGUGUUUGAUCAACCCCGACCUUUCACCGGAUUGUGUUUGAUCAAUCCGAGGCCUUUUUCCGAAUUGUGUUUGAUCAAUUCGCGGCUUUUCCGGAUUGUGUAUGAUCAAUCCGAAGGACAAACCAUUAAAAGCAUCGUUUGUGACCUCUAUCGAGUCUCAUAACAGCUUGGUUUUGUAUGCAAGAGCAAUGUAACAUUCUGCUCCUUUGAGUUUUGACGUACUAGAUGCCUAAGGCGGAUCUUCGCUUGGUAUCUGUGGAACCUUUCAUUGGAAAGGAUUAAAUCACAUGUUUUGACCCCAGGCUAACAAGCCUAGAUGCCGAGAUGCCACAUCGACAAAAGCCUUCAAUGGCAAUCUGUGCAAAAAGUAAUGACCACAAAAUACUGUGGAAUGCACUCAUGGAGCGUUUCUUGAAACGUUCAUAUAACUCUCCUUGUUGAGUUAUUAGACAAGUGGAUUGCUUACCACCUUAAUUGACUACAUAUUGUCGAUGAUCUUUUGUGGCAUCAUGAUCCAUAAUCUUUAGCGGAUUCGAUCAUCAUCAAGUUCUCUAGGUCCUCCAAGUUGGUGUGGAAUUACCAACGAGACUUGAUUUUGAUCAUACAAACAGGAAUUAUAUAUACGCUAAUGUGAUAAACUUAUUUGGGAUUAUCCCCUAAUGUGGGGACAACAAUAUGGGUCAUGGCAACGGUAGAAAAUGUCGUGCCGAUGUCUAGAAAAGAGGGGAGGUGUUGCCGGCUCUAAUAGCGACACUCCGGCAACACUCCCGGUCUAGACACCAUUUUGUCAAAACUACUCACGUCAGCUCAUGACAUUAAUGCAACCGUUAUGGAUCUUCGGAUCACUGGUUCAAGAUUGUCAAGCUCCUUUAAAUUGUGAAUGCAUAUAAAAAGGUAUAGAAAAUCAAUAUGAGGACAAGAACGUCAUCCUCAUGAUCGUGAAUUUCAAAGAUUUGGAUCCUGCUCUAGCUACCCAUGACUUUGAUGUCAUCGGCUAGACAUUGAUUUUCGUUCCAAGUUAUAUGUACUAAGGCGUUGUAUCGACGUCCUUUGUCUAUUUGAGACCUCGAUGUACUCACAUUAGCAAUAAUGAAUGCCUUGAGAAUUUUUUCGAAGUGAAACUAUUCUCCUCUUAUGAUUCAUAUUGAUUUACAAUCAAGAUGUACACUUACAUCGUCCUUAGAAACAUGGCAUAUUGUGCCGAUUUUGGUCCCUUCCUUUGAAGGUGACUCAUGGCACUGCAUCCUCAAGGAGGAUCGCCCACGUGUUUCCAGUUAAGUCUUCUACCCUAUAGCGGAUUUUUCAUCAUCAAUUGUUCAACUAGGCUCAUCCAAGCUCAGUGUGAUGUCUUAGAAUUGUCCGAAAUUAAGGAGAUAGUGGUUUUAAGUGUGCCUCGUACUACCGACCCUCCACGGAUAUGCCUGGUCCUACUGACUUGGAGUUACCGAAAGCUUUUGAUUUUGGAUCCCCCUACGCUAUUAAACCAAUUGCCGUCUUGCAAAAGACGUUGAAGACUUAUCAAAGAUGGAAAAUUAUCAUCAUAAUCGGAUCCUCUAGGUCCUCUGAGUUAGUUUAUGUUCAUGUCAGGGAGCUUCUGCUAACUAGUCAUUGCGUUUACGACCUUAGAACGAUCGAAAGGACUUGGUUUUGAUCAUACACACGUCACUUUUGGCUAAGGCAAAAGCCUACACGCCACCUGCAAGCUUCACAGCUUCGCACAUGCCAAAUCUGCGAAAAACAGCAAUCUGUCCCUUCUGGAUAGUCAACUUCGUUUGAGCUUUGUGAACAGCUCCGGACGAACCAGACAGUGAGCUUUAUAUCAUUGGAAAGCUCUAUGAGUCUAGUUUUCAGNNNNNNNNNNNNNNNNNNNNCACAAAGUACUAUGGAAUGCACUCAUGGAGCAUUUCUCGAAACGUUCAUAUAACUCUACUUGUUGAGUUAUUAGUCAAGUGGAUUGCUUACCACCUUAAUUGACUACAUAUUGUCGAUGAUCUUUUGUGGCAUCAUGAUCCAUAAUCUUUAGCGGAUUCGAUCAUCAUCAAGUUCUCUAGGUCCUCCAAGUUGGUGUGGAAUUACCAACAAGACUUGAUUUUGAUCAUACAAACGAGAAUUGUAUAUACGCUAAUGUGAUAAACUUAUUUGGGAUUAUCCCCUAAUGUGGGGACAACAAUAUGGGUCAUGGCAACGGCAGAAAACGUCGUGCCGAUGUCUACAAAAGAGGGGGAGGUGUUGCCGGCUCUAAUAGCGACACUCCCGGUCUAGACACUAUUUUGUCAAAACUACUCACGUCAGCUCAUGACAUUAAUGCAACCGUUGUGGAUCUUCGAAUCACUGGUUCUAGAUUGUCAAGCUCCUUUAAAUUGUGAAUGCAUACAAAAAGGUAUGGAAAAUCAAUAUGAGGACAAGAACGUCAUCGUCAUGAUCGCGAAUAUCAAAGAUUCAGAUCCUGCUCUAGCUACCCAUGACUUUGAUGUCAUCGGCUAGACAUUGAUUUUCGUUCCAAGUUUUAAAGACAUUCCUGCUAAUGGUUUUCAUUUGAAAACACAUUGUGAGAAUGAACAAGAAUUCUUUUGUGUAUACCUCCUCAUGAAUGCGAACUGAAGCGCAUCUUGGAGAAAUUCAUGAGUCAAUCUAGUGAACUGUAUGUCACUACGAUUCGAAUAUCGAAUCCCAUGUUGUCGCCAUACAUGAUAUUUGGGACACCGACUCAUAUAGGCUUUAGUUUGACCAAAUUGGUCAACCUGGAAGAGAUAUAAUGGUCCAAAUUUUGAGAAAAUCUCAUGGACAUCCAUUCUUCCGCUCAAAACGAAGACAUUCGAGAUCUAGCAUCACCAUGAAGCAUGGUGGUGACCCGGGGGACAUUGAGGUCACCCGAACACGACUCCAACUUCCUGGAGGUCGUCCGGUCAAUUCCUCAAGCAAUUGAGGUGCACCGGCCUUUCCUCGAUGUCGCAUUGGCCCCCUGCAAUGCUCAUUCCUCGUUUUGAAAGCCUAUUCUUUAGCUAAAUAAGGAGUGAGACCCUCAUACGCUAAAUAACACAAAAGUGAACAUUCUAUUCUUACAUCAAAUUAUGUAGAUAAAUACAACCAACUUGCGGACACCUUUUAUGCUUUAUGGUGUUGGUUGAAGUGUUAACACACUGGUCACGUGUUACACUAUUAUCUACUGCUUAUGCUGCUUAUACUUCUACGGGCUCACUACCCAUUCUUUAAAGAAGUUCAUCGGGAUGUAAGUUGAAGUGUCCUGUACCCCAUGUUCACACGCAAUACGGUCUCACCGAGGCUACGACCAAGCAACUUUAGUUUGUCGCUCGAACAUUAUUGAUGCGCACCACUCUUUCUAUUGCGCCUUGGGGCUAUGCAAUAUUUGCAUGCAGCUUUACUAUUCAUCUACGACCCACCAUCAUUGAAUUUUGUUGUACUACAGCUCGUGACUGUGUACGAGGAUUGACACGAAAUUGCAAUCCUUGAGCUCUACAGGAUUGAAACGGAUCUCCAAUCCUUGAGCUCGGCUAGAUGUUAUUUCUAGGUGCCAAAUCGCAUUGCCACUGCGUACAAUGAUGGGUCAUUUGAGAUGAAUAAGUUUAGGUUGGAUAUGAACCUCCACCUAUAAUCCGCAUAUGUAGGAACCUUGUCAGGCGAUCUCAUUCACCGCUAAAUUGCGGGUUGUCACUUUGAUGAGACAAUAUUUCCGCCGUUAGGGGGAGAUAAGAACACAAGUGUUCAAGUGGAACGACGUGAAUUGUCGUGGUUUGUCCCCACUAAGUCUCAUCUUGAUCCCAAAUUCUUAUAGUGUUAAAGUGACGAGAUCACAUGCUGCAAAUAUGUCUGCAAGGAUUGAUGUCCUACAAAAGGACAUGGCGCGACCAAAAAGUGUUGGUCUUGACGCCAUCACCAUGGAUGGUGAUAUGGUGACGCCAUAUAGUGGCAAAAUUGGUGUCACAAGGCCGUGUGGCUCCCCAAAAGGAGGAAGGCCCUUAGGUUCGAUACUUUCUCGCACUAGGAAGAAAGCGAGCUUGGCACAACCUGAUCCAUUGAUCAGUGAUACUCAUAUCCGUCUCAUGAAGUCUGAAUUGUGAUUAUCGUUGGGGGACGCCUCAAUGUUAAAUCCAAUCCAUAUAGAGAUCUCUACAAAGUAUUACACUAGUGUACAUGAGGACGUGAGAUAAUGAGUCUACUAUCGAACCACCAUUCGUUGAUGGAUAUCAACUUAGUUGAUUGGCCCAAUGGAAAGAUACGAUCUAUCAUUAACAAAGAGAUAGGUCCUUGGGCAGGUGAUGCCGACACCGCAAGCUAAACCCUAUCAACUAUGCCUUUGUUAGAUAGCGUAGUGAGAGUAAGAGCUUAGACUCAACUAUGCCUUUGUUAGAUAGCGUAGUGAGAGUAAGAGCUUAGACUCACCUUAUGGCGCAAGGUCUUUCACUAACACGCACUGGGAUCAACUACGAUGAGAUAUGCUCUCGUAAUGGAUGUCAUUGAACUCCACUACUUUGUCAGUUUGGUAGUUUCCGAAUAACUCAACAAGCAGCCUAUGAAUGUGGUCAUAAUAACAUCUCUAUGGGAUCAGAGAUAUACAUGAAGAUCUUAAACGGACUUCAUUCAUCCGAAUCAAGUGGCUCCAAACCACAGGAGCAUGCGUUUGCUAAAUGUAUUGAAACACACAUGGACUCUACUUGAUUUGAAAGGGAUAUGGUGAAUUAUGCAUUUGCGUGUUCAUUCCGGAUUUACAUGGACUCUUGAUGGAUCAAGAGAUGCCAAUAUGUAUCAACAUCUGAAGAAAAAGAUCUUGGGAAGACACAGUCUCGAUAAGACACUCGAUGACUGUAUUGAUGAUGAUUUUCCAUCAAUCGGCUUAGGCACUUUAUAACUAAUGAGGCCUACAUAUACUCCCAUGAUUAGUCAAGGUCUUUUCUCUAAAGAGAGAUCCGUUGUUUUGUCUAAAGCAAUAUGACAAAUAUGUGUUAAGAGAUGGAGUUCCCAUCUAAGUACAAUAAGACGCAUCAAUGUACUCAACACAAUACGAAAGACUUGACAUCUCAUUCGCUAUGAAAAGUUGUAAAGCUAAGUGUAGCUAUGCGCCCACGCAACGCCAAUGUAAUGGCAGUAACUCCUUUUUCAAUACUUAAUGGUAUAAAAAGUUGAGGCUUAUUAUAUCCCUACAUAAGAAAGACACAUCAAAAGCGAAAUCAGAAUCUGCCAAGUUUUGUAGGUCAACUUCCACGGGACCUAUAGGAAAUCUCACUCUCUGGAAAAUGGUGAAAUUGGUACCAUUGGAAAGGUCUAUGUGUCUACUUUCCAGGAACACCAACCAUUUGAUCAUACCUAUCAUAUUGAGUGAGUUAUGGCCGUUUUCGUAAAGUAGGACGAAUCUGUCCGAGAAUCUGAUUUUGGCAAAACAGUCAACUUCGACGGGAAUGUUGUGAACAGCUCCUGAGGAACCAGAACGUAUGUAAUAUACGGUUGGAAAGCUAAAUGAGUCUAGUUUCCAAAACCGUUUACGGUUCGUUCAUAUGUAUUUCCUAGAGAAAGUUACAACUGUUCUAGUAAUUGAAGGUCAUGCUGCGCGGAAAUCUGAUUUCCUGCACGAACUUAUGUUUUGAGUUCACAAGCAACCUUCUCCUCAAGAUCUAAGUGUAAAAGAUCAUUUGAGGACAAUACGGCAUGAUUUAGUUAAUCAUUACCCAAUACCACAUUUGAAGACAUGUUAAAAAGCAUUGACAUGCUAAGUUGUUGAAACUUCCGUGAUUAGUAAGAAUCAGGAAGAGCCCUAUGAUUGAUGUAAAGAUCAGGGGGAGGUGCGAACUUCAGGGGGAGUCUAGCACAUACAUACAUGUCACUAUCAAAUGUGAAGGGUGCGUUGUACUCUNNNNNNNNNNNNNNNNNNNNGACGAGGUUUUGUACGAGGCAACAGAUCAGCACCAUCAGCAUAUCAGCGCGCGACACAAGGGGGAGUGUUCUAGGAUAUUCUCUAUGUGUGCCUUGGCCUUUUGCCAAUAGGAUAUAUAGUUAGACUAGAUCUAUGUAUUCAUAUCCUUACCAUAUUGGUAUUGUGUAAUUCCCUAUAUAAAGGGCUCAUAUCAAUGAAUAAGAUGAUGACUCUCUUGCUAUCUCUUUGUCUCUACACUUUAUCUUUCAUCAUUUAGUGGGUUAUACGCAACAUUCUUACUAAUGUUGUGAACUUUAGUCAUUAUAACCACAACAUUCCUAUUAAUGUGGUAUAACUUGUUUAGUGGGUUAUAUGCAAGUGUACAUUUUUAUAAACCAACUAUAUCUUGAUGAUAAAAUUUUAAAAAAUUGACCGUAGGAUGUGAUCGGUAUAGUGAAACACAGCUAUGGUGGAAAAUUCAAUCAUUUUCAAUAAUAUUUAAACCCCGAUCAAGGUGGUCAACUCUUUCUAUGCUUAUGGGGAACUUUAUCUUCGAGAUUUAAAUUUACCUAAAUUUUUAUAUGGGCUGCUACAUAUCAUCUAUGUGAGUGUGUAGGUCGACGAAUCGACCAAAUUAAGUAAUGAAAAGAUAUGUAAGAACGUUUUCGUGUAAUAAGUGAUAUAUUUUUAUAGUUGACCGUGUCGAUCGAGACCCAAACUUUAUCAAAAAUAAGUGAAAAUUUUUCUAUAUCCAAAUUUAAGUAUACUUAUCAUUUUUAGAGUCUAGGAAUUUUCAGAGAUUUUUUCUGGUAUCGGAUCUAUUUUAUAGGGAAAAAUAUACAUUUCAAAAUGAACAAGGUGGAGGAAAAAUAAUUUGACAAAUGCAACACAAAGAGUUGAUAUAAAAUUUCAGAUAUAUUAUGGAAUGAUAUUUCAAGAGUUUAAUAAAGGUAGAAAGUGAGGGCGUGCUUAUUGUAAUAAAUUGGUGUAGGAAAACAUGAUGUGAUUGCAACUUUGACCAAACCAUAUAAUGACAUAGUAAAACUGUAAAAGUAAUGAGCUGUUAAUAUAAUUCACGUGCCCUUGAUAACUGAUCUUUACCACCAAUUUUCAGAUCCCAACUUUCAUUCGAGUCACCUGCAAAUCUAUUCUAACCCCCAAUUUUCGUUAACCCAGUGCCCUAGCUGUAAAUUCCCAUACAUAUUGUAAGUUUAGAGAAAGCCAAUUUGAUCUGAAACUUUGAUCGGAGGCGUUUAGUCGUUGGCCGCCCAGCUCCGCCUUGGCCGUGGCCGAUUGGCCGCCCCAAGAUCAUAUUGAUUUGCUGGUAUAUAUUAUUGGAUUCGAUUGGGUUUUGACGAUUUGUGUUUUUGGGUUUUCGAUACUUUCUGGGUUCAUCUGUGAGAUAACCUGGAGGCUGGAGCAUGAGGAUUUGUCCAUUGAAUUUCAUUAUUUCAUUCAGACUUCUGAUCAACAACCCACGCAACGAUGAGAGAGCCUGGACCAUCACUACCACCAGAUGAGCUCAAUUUGCUUUCUGGGUUUGAUGCCCUCCUACAGCCGCGGUAGAAAGGCCGAACGUCGCUUUUUUUGUGUGUGACUGUUUGCGCGUGCGCUCCACGCGCCGUUAAUUGGUCUGUUGGUGACCCGUAACCCUGUGGAGGGAAGAACCUCUGUUUCCGAAGCGGCAUAAAACGAAAAGGAAACAUCAAUCACUACCUCCAUCGCUUCUGCCAGAUCCGCCCCUUGCCGGAAUAUUCUGUCGGAUUCCAGCAACUUGCCGGAAUUUCGCCAUGACCUUCCUAUAAUGCACAAGCAAAACCAACAACUGUAGUUAUUCCCAGAUUAACAACACAGUAUCAUCUUAACCCAAUGAACAUACGUUUUACCUUCAGAUUGAACAGAACAAAGUCUAGAAACUUGUCCCAUGCUAGGAACAACUGCAGCAACGCCUUUGUUGUCCAAAACAACACAGCAGCAACGCCUCUGUUUUCCGAAACAACACAGCAGCUGCCUCCAAGCUCGUCUGGUAGGUAGCUAGGCUCGCUGAUGCCCGAAAAAGCUUCGGAAUAAACCAAAGACUCGAACCCUAGCCGGAAAAACUCCAGCUCAAGCUCGUCAGAAGACCCAGAAAAAGAUCGAAUUUAUGGACUUCUGAUCAAAGGCUCAAAUCAAAGAAUUAAAGUCAGAGGAAGGGAGAAGAAGGAAAGAGGAGAAGAACCCUACCCUUCUCUAUCGCCGUCGCCGCCGGAGCUUGCCGGAAAAGAUGAACAUAGCCGUGCUUUAGCUUGUUCGAUCUCCCUCUAAUCUGGUUUGUUUGAGUGAUUUGCUUUGGGGGUUUAAUAGAGAAUGAGAAGAGAAAGAAAUUGGUGAUGGUCUCACUAGCUGGGGUGGUCGGAGACAGCGGCAUCGUGCGGAGGACGCCAGAGGCAGGCGGAGAGGGAGAGAGAGAGGGCUGGGCUCGGGUCAACGCCCGAGUGUGGGUUUAAAAGAAUCAACCCAUCUCUUUUCAUUUUAUGCUUAAUCCAACGGCCAAGAUCAAAACCCUAAUUGAUCCAACGACCCAGAUUAAAAGUUACAUUCUUAUUUCAGAAAAUUAAUUUUUUUUUACCAAACUUCGAUAAAUCGUAAAAAUAACCCAAAGCUCUGCAAAAUAUUCCGAAGAUACCGGUGAACUCAUGUCAACGCGUACUACGACAUCAGGAUCUUAAAAGAAGAAUUUUAACAUAUCGAGUAAAAUUCAAAAAUAUACUUAAACGUUAACUUACUAGAUUACCGUGCACGGUUAAAUUCUUCAGUAAAUCGUAAAAAACCCGAAAAAUAAGUAAAAUUAGGUACGGGGCGUGACAAGAUUAUUAUUAAAUGUAUUACAAUUUUAUUUACACUACAAAAGAUAACUCUAGAAAUAAUUUUUUUUAAUUAAAUCUAAUAAUUUUACUCAAGUAACUACUAUUAAUAAUUUUGUAUUCAAUUCCUUUUAUUUUUUGGGUCCAUCUUGGCCCAAAGUUUACCCGCCCACGGGUCGGGUUUGGGCUUUAAAUAUUUUUACAGGGCCGGGCCUGCCCUGCCCAUUUUACCUGGGCUAAAAAACCACAGGGCUGGGUAGUAUAUGAGUCAUCAUACCUGCCCAUUUUACAGGCCUAUAUGUUACUAAUAACUCCAUCAAAAUAUUAAUAAAACAAUCAAAAGGACUUUGAUCGGGCUUUAUAAGGUCGGGUCGGGCGGGCUUUAAUGGGCAUGUAAUGGGCCGGGCCAAGGUUUUGAACUCUCCGCUCUAGCCCGGCCUCAUGCCCAAUGGGCCGAGUCAAGAUGGGCUUUUAAUGGGUCGGGUCGGGUCGGGCUGGGCAUUGGCCUUUUGGGCCGACGGGCCCCCCCGGGGCUUUUAGGCCCACGGGCCAAAUGGUGACCCAUAUCUUUGACCGAUCAUCCAAGUUGAGUUAAAAUAUGAUUUACUUAAAAUGUGUCAUAUUUUGACGCAACCAAAUAUGACCAAAACCUAUAAUUUAUAAGGGUGAGUGGGUGUGGGCCAGUGACAGAUUUUAUUAAUAUAAAAUAGUUAUCUAUGAUAUAAUAUGAUUAAUGUUGUAGGAAUAUUAUACAUAUGUGUGUCUUGGUCUAAUGCUAGUCAAAAAAAGAAUCACGAUUCCAGAUAGAGAUAGGAUAUCAAGAUAUGUUUCCUUAUACAACACCUUAUGGUGCUAUUUAAUCACAUAAGAUGAUGAUUCUCUAUUUGUUUUUUACUAUCUAUCAUUCUCUCUAUAAUUCCUCCAGAAACACGUUAUCAGCACAACCUAAAAAGUUGGUCUUGGCGCCAUCACCACAGAUGGUGCACAGAUGGUGAUAUAGUGAGGCCAUAUAGUGGCAACUUGGUGUCACUUGCUAUGUGGCUUAAGGGUGGACUUUGUGAGACCUAAAAACCGGAAACCGGCCAUGACCGCACCACACCGACCCGAGGAAACCGAAACCGGACAAAACCGGCUGAUCGGUGCCAGAAACCGAACCGACUUUAUUUAAUUAAUGUAAAUAGUUAAUUAAUAUAUAUACGUCUCAUGAUUUUAAUGGCUGUAAAUAUGCCUACCAUAGGCCUGCACACACACGAUUCUCUUCUCUAACCCAAAUCUAAAAACCUAAAGUCUUUCUAUCCUUUUCUCUUCUCAGUCUCUAUUCUUCCGCCUCUCUUCUCUUCUCAAACCCAAAAACCUAGCAAACCCUCAUAACUCCUGCGACCUAACUCAAUCCUCCUACUCCAGCCUCCCACUCUCAGUCUCAUAACUCAAGCAUAACUCAAGGUAAUAUCUUAUUCUCUAGUCUCCUCAUUUCAUGGUUGUUGUAAUCUAGUCCAGAACAUUAUUUAAAGUAGGUUAUCAUCUUGUCACUGUCAUAUUUUAUUGUAGUUAUGGAAAAGUAACAUGAACAAACAGUAAUUUAACCUUCUAUAUGAAUCUAUUUGAUAUGUGUAUGUGUAUAAUGCAGAUUUCUGUAUAUGUGAUUUUGAACAGGGAGGGAUUUGUUGAGGGCAAGGAUCUCGUGAUGACUGUUAUGUCUGCAAUGGGAGACCUGUGCAAGACUUGUGUUAUUUUGUUAAACUUGAUGCUAUAUUAGUAGCCGUCUCUGAUGGCAAGACUGUCUUUUUAUUAAACUUGAUGUUAUAUCAGUAAUUGCUUCAGAUGGGAAGACCUGUGUUUUUUUUGUUUUCAUUAGUUGCUAGCAGGGACUUUUAUCCACCAUAUUUAUAUAUAUAUAUAUACAGGCUGGAUGUGAAGCGGACGUCCGCACUCGGCUUAAAGUGCGGACAUCCGUCCGUUCUCCACCCCAGAAGACUCCAGCAGCGUCCCCGACCACUUUCCCUCCCGGCGAAUCCGUUCUUUUCCAGUUUUCCGGCGAGAUCACCCAAAACUUCAAACAAAGUCGAUCUCGCUGGAAAACUGGAAAAAAAGGACUCGCCGGGGAGGGAAAGUGGUCGGGGACGUUGCUGGAGUCUUCUGGGGUGGAGGCGUGCCGUCGCCGGUGCCGGAGGGUGGAGAACGGACGGACGUCCGCACUUUAAGCCGAGUGCGGACGUCCGCUUCUCAUCUUCUUUGUGUGUGUAUAUAUAUAUAUAUAUCUGCAAUGAACCUUUAUUCAAAUGGUAUUUUAGUUAUGCUAACAAGAUGAUAUUUCUAUGUUUCCAUAACUUGAAGUAUUGAACUCUUUUCUUUUCUUUUCAUUUGUGAAAGUUAUUACGAAAAGUAGGUUAUGUAACCAAAACCGCACCGAAUUUUGGUUAACCGACGGGUGCGGUCUUUUAUAUGUAUUUUGCGGUUUCGGUCUUGAGAAAUAGGUAACCGAGGAGUGCGGUCCGGUUUUCGGUUCUUGUUCUAAAACCGAACCGAUUGGACCGAGUCCACCCCUAGUGUGGCUCCCCAAAUGAAGGAGGGAGGCCCUUAGGUUCGAUACUUACUCGCAAAAAGAAGAAAACGAGCUUGACACAACAUGAUCCAUUGAUCAGUGAUACUCAUCCGUCACAUGAAGUUUGAAUUGUGAUUAUCAUUGGGGGUCGAUGCCUCAAUGUCAAAUCCAAUCUACAAGUAUUACACUAGCAUACAUGAGAACGUGGAAUAAUGAGUCUAUCGAACAACAUUUCGUUGAUAAAUCAACGAAGUAGAUUGGCCUAACGGAAAUAUGCGAUCCUUUUUAAACAAAUAAGGACAAGUUUUAACAAAUAUGGACAAAUUCUUAUAUGUCUGCCGUGUGUCAUGGUUUAAUUUACCAAACUGACCUUAUACAAAUUAAAUCAGAUCUCCCCAUGUAUCACUUAAGCUGCUACUGCACUUGCUGGAAUCUUGCUGCCGCUACUACACUUGCUGGAAUGUUAUUGCUACUACCGACUGGAAUGUUACUACUUAUUUGUUUAAUUUUCCAAUUCUGCUGCUGUUUGAAGGUUAAGACAAUAUCUCAUUGAAAAGUAAUUAUGCUACUGCUAUCUCCUCAAAUUCACUCGUCAAUUUAGUAAUUUAACCUAAUAAUUGAAAUUGGGAAUUAGAUGAAGCAAUGAUCUUAUUAAUGUCCUGGUCAUCAUAAUUGAUGGUGAAGCCUGUUGCUCCUCCUCAUCAGAGUGAUAACGUCGACAUCGACACCGCCAACAAUGGCAGCGUUAUACUCCACAUCCCAAUUGAAGAGCCCAUGGAUGAAUGUAAUUGAGUUUAAGUGAGUCAGGCAACUGUUGGAGAUUGAUCCCGACGAUGUUCUACGAUUAGGUCGGGUCGGGUCUCCAUCGAAUAUGGGCUAGCAGAUUGACACAAGUGGAGGCCAAUAGCAUCUGGACGGAAUUCUUAGAUACGGCUUAGUCAUCAGAGAGAGAGCGGUGAGAGAGAGAGAGGAGGGAGAGAGAGUCCAGAUUGAGGAGGGGAGGNNNNNNNNNNNNNNNNNNNNGUUUCAAAUCUUUUUGAAGAAUGUACAUGUAAUUUGUCUUUUUUUUUUUUGUUCUAAUAAUUGGGCACAAAUUAUGUCAUCUUACAUUCAAAUAGACAAUCUCUAGAGUAUUUGUUAGAAUGGGAAAUGAGGUGCCAAAAUUUGUAGUAAAUAAACACUAUAUUUUGAUUUCAAGACGGGCUACGAGUAAGUGAUAAUGGGUGACUGAAAUUAAGAACUUCCACAUGGAAAUAAAGAGAAAAUCUAACAUGUAUGGGAUGUUCAUGUAAAAUCAUCCCCCCAACCCCCCCCCCCCCAAACUUAUGAUGCAAGGAAAAUAAGAAAAUUAGAAGUUUAGACGGUGGAAGAAACUGAGAAAACCAGAUCGAGGAGCGAGAGGGGGUGUGAGAACAUAUCGAACGGAAGAGUAGUACUAUUGACUCUCUUGGAAUAAGCCAUAAUCUCAAAAAAUAGUUUUGGAUGACAAUCAGAGGAAUAGAUAGAAAUAUAUUAAACAGUAAAAGUGGAGCAUGGGAUGUAAGAUGAUAGAGAAAAUGGGAACACAAAACUUACUCCCAGAAAAAGGAAGAAAAAUUAAUAUACAUUCAUCUGACUUGAAUAACACAAGUUGUUUCUUUUUUCUUUGAAAGCCAAUAAGUUUUUCUGUUAAUUAGACACAAGAAAAAUGGUGCAUGUAUGCAGAGUUGCCCUCAGAGAAUCUAUCUGUUAUCUUGUGAUGCUUUGCGUCAGUCACAUGCUCGAGAACAACGUUCAAAUAUACAUCAAAGGUUAAGAAUAUAUCAUUAGAUAGUCCAUUAUGUAAUUGUGUAAUGCCCUCAUUCUAUAAAACCACUAGCUAAAAGAAAAGAAUGACGAACAUGAAAAAAAAUUAUGUUAAGACUAGAGUCAACUGAAUCUCCUACAUGCACCAGAAGGAACUAAUGUUUAAGACUAUCCCAGACAUUAAAAUCAGUACUUGAGCUGUUGUAGUCUAUGACACUGUCUUGGCACCCUAUAAAGUAUGCCGUCCGUACCGGAUCUAUGUUUAUUAUAGCAUGGGCAGUUCCGCUUCGACUAGCUGCAACAGCAACCUCAUCUGCACCAAUUGUGACUUCAGCAUAACCUUUAUCAUCUACCUUACUGUUCUCCAGCUUCAAAUAUUCACAGCCAAAAGAGUAAAUACAUAUAAAGCAAGAACAUAUAACAUGACUUAAAAGAUCAUAUUCAUAUGAGUUACAUAUCCGUAGCUUUAAAUAUUAAAUAUGGAACCAUAAAAAAGAAUCCAACUAUACCAACGAUAGGCCAUAAAGUUAGUUAAAUGUUAAUCUUGAAUUUGCAAAUGCUAUUUGAAAGUUAACUCCAGGGAAACGGAAAUCCCAACCUUUGAAAAUCAACUUCCAUUCAGUGGUUAAAACAUUAAAAUAUGGGUUGAGUAAUUUGGUGAUAUUCCAAACUUCAGGAUUCAGGAUACAGAUAUUUGGAGAAGAAUGCAACUAAACAGCUACCGAAAAAAACAUGCGAAGACAAAAGUCUUUGUUUAAUGGAAUACAUCAACUGGUUUUGAGAAAUAUCCACUUUGUUUAAUGGAAUACAUCAACUGGUUUUGAGAAAUAUCCAUAUCCUGUAGAGAAUCAAUAGUUUCCACUGAUAUUUUCAUGCUUAAUGUCUCUUAAGCCGGCAAUUAUCUGGGCUAGUAAGCAGAGCUCCAUAGUACUGAGAAAACGUAAAAUACAUACCUAUAACUGAAUGUAAAUGUAACUCCUAUACAUGUUUAGAUUUCAGAGUUGGGCAACAGUAUUGAUGCAAGCAAAUCAGUGUAGGCAUUUCAGUGUUCUGCCAUUCACUAGUUUUGAACAACAAAUUUACUGUAGAUUCUAGAACCUGUGAAAUGAUUUCCACCAUAAAACAGUGGACGAGAAUAUAGAAAGCGCUCUGACUUCUAAAUUAAAUGCCAGUUAUACCCUAAAGUUUCACAUUGUUGUUGUUGUAUGGGUGGAUCGGGUGCAGUAAUUUAGCACUUCGAUACUUCAACUAAAUUACGGAAUCUUCCAAAUAAAUUAUGGUGAUUGCCAAAAUGCAUGAACCUACUAUAGCUAAGGAAUUCAGUCAGUAUGCAUAACAUUGAAGGCUGUAUCGAAGUGAGAGCUUACCCUAAACCUUGUUUCUGCUCCCCAUAUGACAAAUGUUUCAUUACAAGAAUGGUGUCUGUGGUUUCCCCUUAAACCUCCAGGCCGGACUUCUCCAAGAUGGACUGAAGCACAAAUAACAGCUCCACCUGCGUAAAGUUAAAUACAGUUAAAGAGUGUAUCAGAUGAUGCAAACAAAUCGAGUAUUGGGCAAAUUUUGAAUUGAAAAUCCAAUGAAAAAUUACAAACAAGAGAUACCAGAAAUGCCAUAGUGUUGGGCAAGGGAAAUGGGGUCGAGCAACCAUCCCCUCUUAUCUUUUGCAAUCUGAGAAGGGAACCCAGAACCGAAUCUAACGAGAUUGGCUUUGCCGUCGUCCUUGAUAUUCUUUUCUAAUGGUUUACUGAGAUUAGGAGAAUGAAGAGAGGACGAGUGCUGGAGCCUCAGAGAGACCCAUGUAAGCAAAAGGAAGAUUGAGAGCAGAAAAGGCAAGGCAUGGGGCUUCUUCAGAAAGAGUACUAGUGAUGACCAUGAAACGCUUAGAUUUAGGCUUAAACUUCGGCUUUGGAUGUGGAAUGGGUUUUCUGAGCUCUGGCUGUUCCUUCUAGGGUUUGCCAUCACUUCCUCCCUCUAUCUCGUCAAAUUUGCAUUCUCAGCUUCAUCUGGGCCAGUUUGUGCCUUUCUGUCCGUAUCCUAGUAUUCUAUAUGUUCGGAGCGCCUUACUUUUAUUAAGGGCGCCCUUUUUUUUGGUUCAAUCGGUAAAUUUUUUUUUUUUUUUUUUUUAACAUGAGGUUUAUUAAGAGAAAUUUUAAAUACACACCCCUAAUAUCUUAAUACACAUCAUUUAGUUAAUACACCACUUAUCAAAUUUUUUAUUUCAAUAUUAUACUUAAUACACGUCCCAAACUGCCUAAAAUACCCUUAAUUUAUGAAAUAUUCCGUUAUUUAUAUAAUUAAUAUAUAUUUACUAUUUGGUACCUCUUUUUACAUAUUAUUUCGUCUAAUUUUUGCUAUCAUCGUUCAAUUUAUAAUCAAAUUAUAUUAUUGUUAUAUCCCAACUCCAAAUCACCAAUACAAGUUUUUAAAAAUUCAAAAGCUAGUACAACUGUAGAAGUAUAGUAGCUAUUAAACAUAGAUAGCUAGUUAUUCGAUAAAACAUGUCAUGAUAAAGAUGCAGUACUUAACAAUAUGAUCUACAAGAUCAAAUUAAAGCUAAUAAAGAUGCAGUAUUUGACAAUAUGAUCUGUAAGAUCAAACUAAAGCUAAUACGGAUAACAAAAAAAAAAAAAAAGACAACCCAAAUGAAUUGUGGAAAAGAAUUGAGGUUAAGGAAGAAGACGUGCUUUCAACGAUUUUAGGGUAGAAGACAUUGGAAAGAAUACUUCAAGCGCGAUUUUUUUUUUUAAUAAUAGAUGUAUGUUUUGGUCAUUUAGCUUACUUAUAAAAUCUCAAUAGAAACAUAAAAUAAUAGGGGUGUGUAUUUAAAAGUUCUCCUUUAUUAAACACAGCAAAAAGCUGCAUAAAGAGAAACAACAAAACUGAACAUCUAAGCAAAACAGAACAACAAAACAAAUAUAUGAGUCUAAAUCUAGAGGUGGAGCUGGCAAGCCAUCUAAUCUCAGCACAUGUUGCAAAGAUAAUGGAGGGUGAUUGAUCCAAUCUCCCAAAUACAUCCCCUUUUUAGCUUGCCUGGCAAGCCACUUCCCCGCAGCGUUUCUAAAUCUCUUAACCAAACUCCACAUACAACUUAACAGGCCAAUCUUCAAUCUCUUGAUGUCCACAAGAAGAGGGUAAAUGCUCCAACUGAUUUGAGAAGAAUUCUUCACCACUGCAUUAUACAGCUGUUCAUAAUCCAAUUCAAUACACAUUGUUGUAGCAUUCAUACUCUUAGCUAAGAUCAAACCCUCCUUAACAGCAAAAGCUUCGGCAUGCAAAGCAGAGGAAGAAUAGCAAGAUUUAGCACAACCAUUGAUUACAGCACCACUGGAAUUUCUUGCAAUUACUCCAAUUCUUGCAAGAUUACUAUAAGCAUCCCAGGCACCAUCACAAUUGAUCUUAAUAUUCAAGCCUAGGGGAGCACUCCACAUAUCAGGCCCAUCCUUCAUUUUACAUUUUUCUUCCACACCAACUUGAGGAGGAUGGUCAGUAAUCCCAGAAAACUCGGCAACAACAUACUUCACACUUUCAAUUACUCCCCAAGCAUUUGGAUCUCUAUGCUCAUAUAAAAAAGUACACAUUUCCUUCCAAAUAUUCCAUAAUGCAAAGGAAACCCAGCAAGAUAAUAUUUCCCAUGCUCUACUAUUCUGCUUCAAUAGACCACAAACACCAUAAAACCAAUCAUCAAAUGUUGUUAUUAAAGCAGGGUCAACCUUGUAAGAAAUGGGCAAUCUAAACCAAACUCCAGCUGUCCAAGAACACUGCAAUAGAAGAUGUUCUAUUGACUCUUCAUAUAAUAAACAAAAAGGACACAUAGGAGAUGGAGCAAUUCUCUUAGAGAACAAAUUUUUCAUUGUAGGUAGAGAAUUAGUGCACACUCUCCAGAGAAAAUGCUUAACUUUAGGUAAUGUAAGAGAUGACCAAAUAAACUUCCAAACUUCAGGCUUGAUAAUAUGAGAGGAAUCCAUAGAUUGAAGUGAAGGGGAAUUCCUACUAGCAUGUUGCAUAUCAUAACCAGAACGAACUUUGUACUCACCAUUUUUCUCCAUAGGCCAAAUGAGACGAUCAUGCUCCCAAGUAUCAGAAAUAGGAAUUGAUCGAAUGGCAGUGACUUCCUCCGAAGAAAGGUGAUGGAUGAUUGGAGAAAGAUUCCAAACAUAUUGAUUCCAAUCAAUUAGAUCAGCCACCUUCUGAUAAGGAUCAAACUCGCCAGCAUCUAAAUAGGAGGCACCUAGCUUGCAUCCAAGAAUACAUGGAAUCCACCUAUCCUUCCAAGUAUUAAUUGACUCACCAUUGAGAACCUGCCAUAAACAAUUAUUGCCAAGUAACUUCCUGCCCUCCAAAAUACUACUCCAAGCCCAUUAGGCCUUAGAACCUUUAGAGGCAGACAAGAAAUUAGAAUUAGGAAAUACAAGCCUUUUAAAAUUUGAACCCAUAAAGCAUUCGGCUGAUGAAUAAUUCUCCAGCCAACUUUAGCCAACAAUGCAAGAUUAAAGUAUUUCAAACAUCUGAACCCCAUUCCACCUUCAUUCUUAGGUAAUCGCAAUUUCUCCCAACUCAACCAAUGAAUCCUUUCACCCACAUCAGAUUGCCCCCACAAAAAAUUUGAAAUCACAUAAUCGAUUUCCUUACACAACCCAUCAGAGAAUAGAAAAACAGCCAUUGGAUAAGUAAGAAUUGCAAAAAUCACAGACUUAAUAAGAACCUCUCUACUAGCUUGAGUUAAAUGCAAUUGUUUCCAUCCUUGAAUCUUCUCAGAUAUUCUCCCCUUCACAUAUGCUAGUGCCUACUUCUUGGACCUACCCCACAUAGUAAGCAACCCAAAUACUUCCCGGGGUCAUUAGAACCAGGAAUGCCUAAGACACCACUAAUACCCAUCUGAAGAUCAAGAGGAGUGUUGUGAAAUCCCGAACUUUCUGUAAAUAAUUUAUCUAGACUAUAUAUGAUUUAUUUAUUUAUAUAUAGAUGUACAUGUGAGUACCUGUUCGUUUUAGCAACAAAUGUCACACCCCGGUUCUUAAGUUAUUUUACGGUUAUUUACUUUGGUAUUAUUUUGGUCUUUUACCGUGUUGAGUAACCGUUUACUACUUAAGGACCCUAAAGUUGACUUUCUAUUCCGUUUGGAAUUUGGGGAAACUUUCUUCAUGAAAGUCAUAGAGGACGUUAUUAAUUACGAGUUUGUAGACAUGCUAUGUGUUAAAAUCAGAGUUAACAUGAAAAAGUUAUAAAUUAAGAGAGUAAAUUAUUUGAGUUGGUAAAACGGGGUAAAAAUUUAGUGGGUAUUUUUCUUAGGUUUAAGUGUUGGACCGGGUGUGGGGCAGUCCAACACCCCUCACUCCCUCACUCACUCUCACUGUCACAUCCCGACCCUUAUAUUUUUACCUUAUUUACUAGCGUGAUUAUAAUAAGAAUUUUACCGUCUCGAUCAUUGAGUAAAUAGUUUAAUUGGUCCCUAGAGGGGUUUCGGGGACAAUUAUGUGCGGAGGAUUAUUCGUAUGAGGAAAAUACGACGACGGUAAAAAUGAUAAAUUUUAGCUAGUAAAAUGUAAUUUUUAUUCGGGUAUUAUUUUUCGGGGUGUUUUUAUUUUGGAAGAUUGGGUUAUAAGUGGUGUGGACCGGUUUGGGCCAAGCCCAUACAUUUCUCUCCCCUCACUUCUCUCUUUUCCUCUCGAUUCUCUCUCCUCCCACCCGAUUUUCUCCUCCCUCCGCCCGGAAACUUCACCACCGCCGUCCGCCGCCGUCCGGCCACCACCGACCGCCAGACUGGUCCCGUUCGGACCCUUGCCUCUUCCUCUCUCAUCCUGGACCGGUGCACGCGCGCGGAACGCCGCCGUGAAGGAGCGGUCAACCCCGAAAGGUUCGACUGCCGGAAAGGGUUUUUCGCCAGAGCUCCGUCUUCCAGCCAUCAUAGGUCGUGAUUUUUGGCUCAACUUGUAGCCCUCAUCUAGGUGAGUAAUCCCUCAAAAGGUUUCGGCUAAAUUCGAUUUCGUUAGGGUGGUUUGUAUGAUUGAAAGUUUUAAGGAUUUAUGGAUGUUUUUAGUCGAUUGCCCUAGUUAGGCUUGGAAUUGGUGUUUGUGCUAGUUAUGAAAGUUGUAGAGCUUGAUGAGAGGAUUAUUCUGUCAAAAUUUCAUAGGUUUUGGAGGUCGCCGGAAUUGGCCUCCGGCCGCCGCCGGUUAGGAGAUUUUUAGGGUUUUAAGUGUGGAAUAUUAAGAGGAGUAUAUUGAUGUGAUUUAUGGAAUUUUUGGAUGAGAUUUGGAUAGGUUUGUGAAUUUCCGAAGUUUGGUAUUUUUGGCGGUUAAUUAAUGUAGAAUCCGGCCGUAGGAUUUAAGUCGUAUUUUGGAGAGGUUGUAUUUACGACUGAUGAGUAUGAUAUUUAAGUUCGGAUCAUUCCGAUUUAAGAAUAUCGAAGUUAGGCAAUGAUGAGCGUAUUUAUGGCUCUCGGGUAAUUUUGCCUAUUUUGAUUAAAUAUUGGAUUAUUGGUUGGGAAAUUAAUUUUAUAUUUGGAACAGGACGUGAGGAGGCUCGAGCAGACGAGACCCCAGAUCGACAUCAGGCUUAGGCCUAAUUUGUGAGUGGACGUUUAUUUUAAAUAAAUGCACGCUAUAGUUCAUGGUUGAACAAUUAAUGUCGUGGAGUAUCUUUGACGUCAUUUUAAUUUUUGACGAUUUUUAUUUCUCUUGGAGAGAUACCGAAAAUGGGAUUUUCGGUGGAUAUAAAUAUGUAUUUAUGAGAGAGUAUGUAUAGAAAAUGCUAGCUAGCCAUAUGUGUCUGUCCACCUUAAUGGCGUAGCUUAUAGCCGCAUUAUGGUGUGACGUGAGCGUUGGACGUCAGCGUAGUAGCCCUAUUUGAGUGUUUAAUUCAUAUAGGGGUAUGGACACAUAUUUAUACACCCGUCUGUCCACCUUGAUGGCGUAGUGUAGCACCGCAUUAAGGCGUGACGUGAGCGUUGGACGCGAGCGUAGUAGCCCUAUAUAGACCCAUGAAUUUAUAUAGGGAGUAUGGACGAGUGUAAAUACAUACAUAUAUUAUAGAGUCUGAGAGGCUCGAUAUUUUAUGGGAUAAAAGUUUUAUCGCUUGCGGCAUGCAUUCGAUUUUUCCUUA
rnacentral:lncRNA from 1 species